rnacentral:rRNA from 1 species
GUAACAGGAAGCAGCUUGCUGCUUUGCUGACGAGUGGCGGACGGGUGAGUAAUGUCUGGGAAACUGCCUGAUGGAGGGGGAUAACUACUGGAAACGGUAGCUAAUACCGCAUAACGUCGCAAGACCAAAGAGGGGGACCUUCGGGCCUCUUGCCAUCGGAUGUGCCCAGAUGGGAUUAGCUAGUAGGUGGGGUAACGGCUCACCUAGGCGACGAUCCCUAGCUGGUCUGAGAGGAUGACCAGCCACACUGGAACUGAGACACGGUCCAGACUCCUACGGGAGGCAGCAGUGGGGAAUAUUGCACAAUGGGCGCAAGCCUGAUGCAGCCAUGCCGCGUGUAUGAAGAAGGCCUUCGGGUUGUAAAGUACUUUCAGCGGGGAGGAAGGCGACAGGGUUAAUAACCCUGUCGAUUGACGUUACCC